GUGAAUGAAAACAUGGAUGCCUGACUCACACAUCUUAAGCCCUGGCAGCCCCAAAGAUCUGCAAAAUCAGCAAAAUUUCAAGAUAAGAAUCAGCGACCACGUGAACAAGUUUACAGAUUCUGAAAAGGCAAUAGCACGGCCAUUUGUGAUGAUCAGCAGCCAGUCAGGACUCUGAGCUUCCUUAUUUAUCUGCCUAUGCUGUAUACCACUAGUGGUAAUUUUACCUAUCAUGUUCAUUAAAGAUACAUGCCUUAA